rnacentral:rRNA from 1 species
AUAAACGACUCUCGGCAACGGAUAUCUCGGCUCACGCAUCGAUGAAGAACGUAGCAAAAUGCGAUACUUGGUGUGAAUUGCAGAAUCCCGUGAACCAUCGAGUUUUUGAACGCAAGUUGCGCCCAAUGCCAUUUGGUUGAGGGCACGCCUGCCUGGGCGUC